rnacentral:misc_RNA from 1 species
GAAAUGCGAUAAGUAAUGUGAAUUGCAGAAUUCAGUGAAUCAUCGAAUCUUUGAUCGCACAUUGCGCCCGCCAGUAUUCUGGCGGGCAUGCCUGUCCGAGCGUCAUUUCAACCAUCAAGCCCCCGGGCUUGUGUUGGGGACCUGCGGCUGCCCGCAGGCCCUGAAAACCAGUGGCGGGCUCGCUGUCACACCGAGCGUAGUAGCAAUCACCUCGCUCAGGGCGUGCUGCGGGUUCCGGCCGUUAAACAGCCUUACAAAACCCAAGGUUGACCUCGGAUCAGGUAGGAAGACCCGCUGAACUUAAGC